UAGGGAAUCUUCGGCAAUGGGGGGCAACCCUGACCGAGCAACGCCGCGUGAGUGAAGAAGGUUUUCGGAUCGUAAAGCUCUGUUGUAAGAGAAGAACGUGUGUGAGAGUGGAAAGUUCACACAGUGACGGUAACUUACCAGAAAGGGACGGCUAACUACGUGCCGG
rnacentral:rRNA from 1 species